UACGUAGGUGACAAGCGUUGUCCGGAUUUACUGGGCGUAAAGAGCGCGCAGGCGGUCGUUCAAGUCGCGUGUGAAAGCCCCCGGCUCAACUGGGGAGGGUCAUUCGAUACUGAUCGACUCGAAGGCAGGAGAGGGAAGUGGAAUUCCCGGUGUAGUGGUGAAAUGCGUAGAUAUCGGGAGGAACACCAGGGGCGAAGGCGACUACCUGGCCUGUUCUUGACGCUGAGGCGCGAAAGCUAGGGGAGCAAACGGG
rnacentral:rRNA from 1 species